rnacentral:rRNA from 1 species
AUGGCUGCCGGUGCAGCGGCGAUCAGCUCGGAGCAGAUGAGCGAGUUCCGGGAGGCCUUCGCCUUCUUCGACAAGGACGGCGACGGCUGCAUCACGGCGGAGGAGCUGUCCACGGUCAUCCUCUCCCUGGGCCAGACCCCGACGCCCGAGGAGCUGCGGGACAUGGUGCGCGACGUGGACGCCGACGGCAACGGCACCAUCGAGUUCGCCGAGUUCCUGGCGCUCAUGUCCCGCAAGGCCGACGCCGACGCGGACGCCAGCGACCCCGAGGAGGAGCUCCGGGAGGCCUUCCGGGUGUUCGACAAGGACCACGACGGCCACAUCUCCAAGGCCGAGCUGGGCCAUGUCAUGAUCAGCCUUGGCGAGAAGCUCACCGACGAGGAGGUGGAGGAGAUGAUCCAGGAGGCCGACCUCGACGGCGACGGCCUCGUCAACUUCGACGAGUUCGUCAGGAUGAUGAUGCUCUCCGACUCCGACCAGCAGCAGCACUGA